rnacentral:rRNA from 1 species
UACGUAGGUGGCAAGCGUUAUCCGGAUUUACUGGGUGUAAAGGGCGUGUAGGCGGGGACGCAAGUCAGAUGUGAAAACCACGGGCUCAACCUGUGGCCUGCAUUUGAAACUGUGUUUCUUGAGUACUGGAGAGGCAGACGGAAUUCCUAGUGUAGCGGUGAAAUGCGUAGAUAUAUGGAGGAACACCAGUGGCGAAGGCGGCCUGCUGGACAUUAACUGACGCUGAGGCGCGAAAGCGUGGGGAGCAAACAGG